rnacentral:rRNA from 1 species
ACACGAACCGUCCGAACGUUAUUCGGAAUCACUGGGCUUAAAGGGUGCGUAGGCGGUGCGGUAAGUUGGGUGUGAAAUCCCUCGGCUCAACCGAGGAACUGCGCCCAAUACUGCCGUACUUGAGGGAGACAGAGGUAAGCGGAACUGAUGGUGGAGCGGUGAAAUGCGUUGAUAUCAUCGGGAACACCGGUGGCGAAAGCGGCUUACUGGGUCUCUUCUGACGCCGAGGCACGAAAGCUAGGGGAGCGAACGGGAUUAGAAACCCCAGUAGUCC